rnacentral:lncRNA from 1 species
AAAAGGUUCUAUUUGAAUUACCUCUCAAAGUUCAAACACUUCUCUCAGAUCUUUAAUCUCACUCUCUUCCAAAUCAAUAUUCUACUCAAUCCACAUUAAUUAUAUACAAUCUAACUAAAGUAUGUCGAAUUUGGGAUUCAGUUCACUAUUACUAUUAAUGAUUACACUUUUUAGUUUCGGUGGAGCGGCCUUGGUAUCUCGGAAUUCAGAAGAAGCGUACGUGACGCUUCUGUAUGGCGACGAAUUCUUGCUGGGCGUUCGAGUCCUGGGGAAAUCGAUUCGUGACACGGGUUCCACCAAAGACAUGGUUGCUUUGGUGUCUGAUGGAGUCU